rnacentral:rRNA from 1 species
AUUGAACGCUGGCGGAAUGCUUUACACAUGCAAGUCGAACGGUAGAGGGGGCAACCCCUCGAGAGUGGCGAACGGGUGAGUAAUAUAUCGGAACGUGCCCAGUCGUGGGGGAUAACGUAGCGAAAGUUACGCUAAUACCGCAUACGAUCUACGGAUGAAAGCGGGGGAUCGCAAGACCUCGCGCGAUUGGAGCGGCCGAUAUCAGAUUAGGUAGUUGGUGGGGUAAAGGCUCACCAAGCCAACGAUCUGUAGCUGGUCUGAGAGGACGACCAGCCACACUGGGACUGAGACACGGCCCAGACUCCUACGGGAGGCAGCAGUGGGGAAUAUUGGGCAAUGGAGGAAACUCUGACCCAGCGACGCCGCGUGCGGGAUGAAGGCCUCGG